CCCACAGCAACAGAACAUGAUGUUUAUGGCUCAAAGUGGUAUGGCAGGAAGUGGUGUCCCAAAUCCUUUCUUUGCCAAUGGCAUGCCGCAGGCUGUCCCCACUUCCAUUCAGCUCUCAGCGGCCAACCCAUUUGCUCAGAAAGGCCCCAUGCAUCUCUUCUCUGCUCACUCUGACUUCAGCUACAGAUCCUUCUUCCAGGUACUCGUCUAAACCUGCUUGAGCAAAAAUUAUCUCCCGUUUUUGCAGUUCGUCUCCUGGAUGACCUCCAUUAUUGGCAUUGUUCUCUUCCCAGUCCCUCCUCAUCCC